rnacentral:rRNA from 1 species
GACGAACGCUGGCGGCGUGCUUAACACAUGCAAGUCGAACGGUGAUGCUCCAGCUUGCUGGAGUGGAUCAGUGGCGAACGGGUGAGUAACACGUGAGCAACCUGCCCCAGACUCUGGAAUAAGCGCUGGAAACGGCGUCUAAUACUGGAUACGAAACUGGCCCGCAUGGGCAUGGUUUGGAAAGUUUUUCGGUUUGGGAUGGGCUCGCGGCCUAUCAGCUUGUUGGUGAGGUAAUGGCUCACCAAGGCGACGACGGGUGGCCGGCCUGAGAGGGCGACCGGCCACACUGGGACUGAGACACGGCCCAGACUCCUACGGGAGGCAGCAGUGGGGAAUAUUGCACAAUGGGCGAAAGCCUGAUGCAGCGACGCCGCGUGAGGGAUGACGGCCUUCGGGUUGUAAACCUCUUUCAGCAGGGAAGAAGCGAAAGUGACGGUACCUGCAGAAGAAGCACCGGCUAACUACGUG